rnacentral:rRNA from 1 species
GAUGAACGCUGGCGGCGUGCCUAAUACAUGCAAGUCGAGCGGACAGAUGAGGAUCUUGCUCCUCUGACGUUAGCGACGGACGGGUGAGUAACAAGUAGAUAACCUACCUAUCAGACUGGGAUAACUUCGGGAAACCGGAGCUCAUACCGGAUAAUAUAUUGAACCGCAUGGUUCAAUAGUGAAAGACGGUUUUGCUGUCACUUAUAGAUGGAUCCGCGCCGCAUUAGCUAGGUGGUAAGGUAACGGCUUACCAAGGCAACGAUGCGUAGCCGACCUGAGAGGGUGAUCGGCGACCCGAGAGGGGGAACACCGACAAGGGGACUGAGAGACGCAGCAGAAGGGUACGGUACGCAACAGUGGGAAACAUGACGCAGCGGGCGCGCGCCAGUGACGGCGGCCUUGGGAGCGGGAUGCCCGGCUUCGAGUGAUGAACAUCUGUUUGAGUAGAUAAACACGUCUUGACGGUACCUGAACAGAAAGCGACGGCUAACUACGUG